rnacentral:rRNA from 1 species
GGCGAACGCUGGCGGCGUGCUUAACACAUGCAAGUCGAACGGAAAGGCCCUGCUUGCAGGGUACUCGAGUGGCGAACGGGUGAGUAACACGUGGGUGAUCUGCCCUGCACUUCGGGAUAAGCCUGGGAAACUGGGUCUAAUACCGGAUAGGAGCCAUUUUUAGUGUGAUGGUUGGAAAGUUUUUUCGGUGUAGGAUGAGCUCGCGGCCUAUCAGCUUGUUGGUGGGGUAAUGGCCUACCAAGGCGGCGACGGGUAGCCGGCCUGAGAGGGUGGACGGCCACAUUGGGACUGAGAUACGGCCCAGACUCCUACGGGAGGCAGCAGUGGGGAAUAUUGCACAAUGGGCGCAAGCCUGAUGCAGCGACGCCGCGGGGGGGAUGACGGCCUUCGGGUUGUAAACUCCUUUCGCUAGGGACGAAGCUUUUUGUGACGGUACCUAGAUAAGAAGCACCGGCUAACUACGUG